CGAAACGAAACGGCGACCUAACCCGUCACUUCCCUCUUCCUCCCUCAUGUCUUCAUUCUCCUUUGCCCGAAACCCAUCCCUGACCUCCCUGCGGAAAUCCAUCUCUCCUCCCACAGUUUUUUCUCUCCCAGCGGUGGUUCGGCGACCGGCGCUAGGUCCAAAGCAACGGCAGGCUGCGCGGCACAACAAUCCCUGAAGUCCUAGACUCCUCGAGCAGCAGCGAACACUCCAAGCAGCGACCUGCGGAAAUAGCCAAAUGUGGAACCUGUUUUGGACAGCUAGAAAAGGUGAUAUCCCAAUGAAUAUUGUCUCUCUUUUGAGUUUUGAAUAAACAAUGGCUGCCAAUGUCCCUCCGAGUUACUAGAAAACAUCUUUUUAUUUUCUUCUCUGCUGUCUUACAAAAAACCAGAAAGAAAAAUGCUCCCUUCUCGACCUUUACAUUACCAAAUCCAAAUGCCAGACAACCUUCUGAUUUGGCAGAAAGAAGUCACUUGGUUCCCACCGAUAACAUAGCAACAUCAAGAUCGUCCUAUGGGAAAUCUUCACUCUUUGAUCAACGUCGGUUAAGUGAUGUUGUUUCAGCGAACAAGAUUAUCAUGAACUACAUUCGAGAAGGUGAUUUGGAUUCUGCACUAUGUGUAUUCGAGAGCAUGACAAUUAGAACAACAGUUACUUGGAAUUCCAUGUUGGCUUGGUAUUCCAAAACGCCUGGGAAAUUGAAGGAGGCACGCCAAUUGUUCGAUCACAUUCCUCAACCAGAUGUCGUCUCAUUUAAUACCAUGUUAGCAUGUUAUUUUCGUAACUCUGACAUUGAAACUGCUCGGGUUUUCUUCAAUAGAAUGCCAGUUAAAGAUCCAGCAUCAUGGAACACGAUGAUCUCUGGUCUCUCCCAGAAUGGGAAGAUGGAUGAAGCUCAUGAGCUCUUUUUGGUUAUGCCAGAGAAGAAUAGUGUCUCCUGGAGUGCCAUUAUAUCGGGUUAUAUUGAGGCUGGGUAUUUGGACUUGGCGGUGGAAUUGUUUCAGCAAGCUCCAGUUAAGAGUGUGAUUGCAUGGACAGCAAUGAUUACUGGGUUUAUGAGGUCUGGGAAAAUUGAAUCAGCAGAGGAGUUAUUUGCAGAGAUGCCUGCAAGGAAUUUGGUGACUUGGAAUGCCAUGAUUGCUGGUUAUGUCGAGAAUUCUGAGUCCGAGGAAGGCUUGAAGCUUUUCAGGAGGAUGGUCAAGGAGGGAAUCAAGCCUAAUCCAUCCACCAUCUGCAGUGUUUUAUUGGGUUGUAGUAACUUAUCUGCAUUGCAAUUGGGUAAGCUGGUACAUCAACGUAUCCAUAAAUCACCAUUGUAUCUUCACACGACCGUUGGGACUUCAUUGCUUAGUAUGUAUUGCAAAUGUGGGGACUUAGAGGACGCAAAGAAGUUAUUUAAUGAGAUCCCCCGAAAAGAUGUUGUUUCAUGGAAUGCUAUGAUUUCCGGGUAUGCCCAACAUGGCUUUGGUGAGAAAGCAAUUCAGUUGUUUGAUGUGAUGAAGGGUGAGGGAAUCAAGCUAGAUUGGAUCACCUUUGUUGCAGUUUUGUCAGCCUGUAACCAUGCAGGAUUAGUAGAUCUUGGAAUUCACUAUUUUAAUUCUAUGGAAAGCUGCUAUGGAAUUAAAGCCAAGCCGGAUCACUAUACAUGUAUGGUUGAUCUGCUUGGUCGAGCUGGUUUGCUAGACGAAGCAGUAGAUUUGAUAAAGAAAAUGCCUUAUAGUGCACAUUCUGCCAUAUUUGGUACUCUUUUGGGGGCUUGUAGAAUCCACAAGAACUUGGAAUUGGCUGAAUUUGCUGCCAAAAACCUGCUUGAUCUUGAUCCAACGAAUGCAGCAGGUUACGUUCAACUUGCCAAUGCCUAUGCUGCUAUGAAAAAGUGGGACCAUGUUGCAAGGGUUCGCCAAUUAAUGAAUGCUAGUAAGGUUAUGAAGGCACCUGGGUAUAGUUGGAUUGAGGUAGGAAGUGAAGUUCAUGAGUUCAGAUCGGGAGAUAGAGUUCACCCCAAAUUGGCUUCUAUACAUGAAAAAUUAGAUGAGCUGGAGAGGAGGAUGAAGGUAGCAGGGUACGUGCCAGAUCUUGAUUCUGCAUUGCAUGAUGUAGGGGAGGAGCAAAAGGAGAUGAUACUGUCAAGGCACAGUGAGAAAUUGGCAAUUGCUUUCGGGCUGAUGAAUACACCCAGUGGCACUCAAAUACGGGUAUUCAAAAACCUUAGAGUCUGUGGCGAUUGUCACAAUGCCACCAAGUACAUAUCUGAAAUUGAAGGUAGGGAAAUUAUUGUUAGGGACACAACAAGAUUCCACUAUUUUAGAAAUGGGAGAUGCUCUUGUGGUGACUAUUGGUGACCAUGUGAGGUUUGAUUGGAGAUUCCUAUGAAUGAGCCAGAAGAGAUUGUACCUGAAGAUAAGGAGAUGACUCUUGAUGAGUAUGAGAAGCUACUGAAGAAAAAGGAAGAUUUGCAAGUGCUGCAAAUCAAGGAAUGGAAGGUUGAUGUGGACGAAAGAGUUUGAAUCUAUGCAACAGCUAGCUUUCUGGCAAAAAGGCUGUGAUAAGGAUGAGUGGAAAGUGAUUGCUGAUAAGGAAGAGAAAGCCAUGAUAUGUGUUGAACUGAAGACAUAUUGCAGUAGGACCAAGAAAAGCCAGGUCUAGCGUGGCCCAGCCUAUUUUCAGGCUUGCCUCCACUUUGUUUCUUGUUUUCAGUUGUUUCUUUUAUGUUUGAAGUUUGUUAGAGUCAGUCCUGGUUCAGCCGGUGGUUCAAUUGUUUCAGUGUGAGUUAGAUAUUUUAUUUAUUGUUUCAAGUGUACAAGUUUGGGUCCACAUCCUUUUUAAAGGCCACUUUAAAAAAGAAUGUCCACUGUUAAUAGGGACCGGCUAGCGGGUGUUAAAGCUGAUCUGAUCUGCUCUUGCGUGGAGAGAAUUCUUCCUUGUGGAAUCAAGGUGUGAUUGGUGUGAAUCCAAUCAACAACUUGCGGCGGAAGCCCGGGUGCCAUUUCCUGUUGUUUUAUCAUUCUUUAAUGUACUGUUCUUUAAUUUACUUCACUGCAAUUCUCUCCAUUAAAGCGAUUUCCUAUCAUAUCUUCUCUAGGAUUGUUGCUUUUAAAGGUGAAUUACAAAUAUAAUCUAAGUUCAGAUAUCAGAAUUAUACUGCUGCCUUCUCCUGACCGAACCCGCCCAAAAAAUAAAAAUAGAAUAAAAUAAGUUGUUCUUGCUGAUGUCGGAGACAUCUUUAUCUGAGGAGACUUCAUCGUUUGGCUCCUCAAAAAUGAUGUUAGGAUCGGCGGCCAGCUCAUCCUCGGAAUCCGAAAAGAAAACAGAGACAGAACGGAAGACCAUACUCUGUUUUCAAUUUUUUUAAUCUGUUGGUUAAAUUAUAAAGUCCUAUAUCAACUAGGAUUGCUUCAAGACUUGAAGAUUAAAUUUGAUGCAGGUUAUUUUCUAUUAUUUUCAGUUGAAAGUAAUACCAUAGAUUGAUAUUCUGUUGGGUUUAAUAAUUCUGCAAUUUGUUCCUUAAUCUGAGUUCUGGUUUGACAGUUGGCUCUUAUUCUAGUGGUACUCGGAUUCUCCCAUAAACUCUGAUCCAACCAUUGGAUCAGUCUGAGAUUUUCAGCUAAGAUCACACCCCUAAAAGGAGAAUUCGACCUGGUUUUCCACCUGAUCUGAUUUUGUGAUUUGAUCCUAUUGAUUUUCUCCCUAAUCUGGGUUUGCUUUCUCGGGUUGCGAUUCUGUUUUUGUACUGUGUACUCUUUAAAUCUGAUAGUCUGAUAUUUCAGUCCUCUGUUUUCUGCGUUCCAUCUGUUCAAGG